AUACGGAGGAUGCGAGCGUUAUCCGGAUUUAUUGGGUUUAAAGGGAGCGUAGGUGGGAUAUUAAGUCAGCUGUGAAAGUUUGGGGCUCAACCUUAAAAUUGCAGUUGAUACUGGCUGUCUUGAGUACAGUAGAGGUGGGCGGAAUUCGUGGUGUAGCGGUGAAAUGCUUAGAUAUCACGAAGAACUCCGAUCGCGAAGGCAGCUCACCGGGCCGGAACUGACACUGAUGCUCGAAAGUGCGGGUAUCAAACAGGAUUAGAUACCCUGGUAGUCCGCACAGUAAACGAUGAAUACUCGCUGUUUGCGAUACACGGUAAGCGGCCAAGCGAAAGCGUUAAGUAUUCCACCUGGGGAGUACGCCGGCAACGGUGAAACUUAAAUGAAUUGACGGGG
rnacentral:rRNA from 1 species